GAUGAACGCUGGCGGCAUGCUUUACACAUGCAAGUCGGACGGGAAGUGGUGUUUUCAGUGGCGGACGGGUGAGUAACGCGUAAGAAUCUGCCGUUGGGAGGGGAACAACAGCUGGAAACGGCUGUUAAUACCCUGUAGGCAGAGGCGCGUAAGGAGGCAUGCGCCCAGGGAGGGGCUGGCGGCGUAUGAGUGAGUGGGUGGGGUAGUAGCUUACUAAGGCCGUGAUGGGUAGCUGGUCUGAGAGGAGGAUCGGCCACACUGGGACGGAGACGAGGCGCAGACGACUCCGGGAGGAAGCAGUGGUGGAGAAUGUUCCAUAGGCGGAGAAAGGCUGCCGGAACAAUGCCUGGGGGAGGUAGAAGUUCUACGUGUCAUGAGCUUCUUCUCCUGACGAAGAAAGAAUGACGGUAACUGGUAAAUAAGCACCGGCUAACUCUGUG
rnacentral:rRNA from 1 species